GUAAUAGUAGAUAGUGUAGGUAAUAGGGUCUGUAGAUAGUGUAGGUAAUAGUAGAUAGUGUAGGUAAUAGUAGAUAGUGUAGGUGAUAGUAGAUAGUGUAGGUAUUAGGGCCUGUAGAUAGUGUAGGUAAUCGUAGAUAGUGUAGGUAAUAGGGUCUGUAGAUCGUGUAGGUAAUAGGGUCUGUAGAUAGUGUAGGUAAUAGGGUCUGUAGAUAGUCUAGGUAAUAGGGUCUGUAGAUAGUGUAGGUAAUAGUAGGUAGUGGAGGUAAUAGUAGGUAGUGGAGGUAAUAGUAGAUAGUAUAGGUAAUAGUAGAUAGUGUAGGUAAUAGGGUCUGUAGAUAGUGUAGGUAAUAGUAGAUAGUGUAGGUAAUAGUAGAUAGUGUAGGUAAUAGUAGAUAGUGUAGGUAAUAGGGUCUGUAGAUAGUGUAGGUAAUUGUAGAUAGUGUAGGUAAUAGGGUCUGUAGAUAGUGUAGGUAAUAGUAGAUAGUGUAGGUAAUAGUAGAUAGUGUAGGUAACAGUAGAUAGUUUAGGUAAUAGUAGAUGGUUUAGGUAAUCGUAGAUAGUGUAGGUAAUAGGGUCUGUAGAUAGUGUAGGUAAUAGUAGAUAGUGUAGGUAAUAGUAGAUAGUAUAGAUAUUAGGGUCUGUAGUUAGUGUAGGUAAUAGUAGAUAGUUUAGGUAAUCAUAGAUAGUGCAGGUAUUAGGGUCUGUAGAUAGUGUAGGUAAU
ensembl:lncRNA